CCGCCACCCUCGAGAGGCUGCGAGGACCUAGCCUGCCCACUGAUGGAUUCAAGGCCCGCCUGCACCAGGUUUACUUCUGGACUGCUUUCACGACCAAAGGCAUCAUGUGAACCUGAGGAAAGGGGCUUAGAACCGCAGGGAAAGGGGGAAAUAAGAAGAGGAGAAAAGCUCUCCAUACCAAAGGCUUAAAAGUAAUCCUUGCUGGUUUUGUAUUUAUUCUAUGUAUUUAUGUGGUGGUUUAUGACAGCUGAAUAUAAAAGUGACUUGGGAGUUU